GAAUCAUUACUCUGUUUGCUCUGCCACACACCAGACCUGUGUUCCCUUGUGCUUGUCAAGGGCGUAUAAAACCCACCACGUGACGAUAUUAAAGGGGAAGUUCAUGUCCCUCGUUGGUGGAAUCUGCUGGCUCACUGUCCUGAACUCUGGUGCCUCAUCAUGUCUGAUAUUUGGUGUCCCUAGACUCCAGCCCUCACAAAUUAGUUUGCACCUAAAACACACCCCAUGGCUGGUCUAACUGACUUCAUAUAUUCAGCGGAGCCAACAUGGUGAGCGAUCCAGCCCGAAGGAGGCGUGCCCGCGCCCCUGGCAGCCCCCUCUUCCCUUCCAGUGGGUCAGUGGGGGGUUUGGGGAAGGCCUUGAAUGGAUCCUCAACAUCACAGGGGACUGGAAACUUUGGCUUCUGGUACCACACAAACAUAUUAGUGGAUGGUGUGAACAAUGAGCCAGAACUUGAAUCCACAAAUUAAACUACGCAUGUCCACAAAGAUCCUA